rnacentral:tRNA from 1 species
AAGGAGAUGGCUCAGAGGUUAAUAGCACUGGCUGCUCUUCCAGAAAACCUGGGUUCAAUUCCCAGUAACCAUA